UAACGCGUGAGGAACCUACCUUCCAGAGGGGGACAACAGUUGGAAACGACUGCUAAUACCGCAUGACGCAUGACCGGGGCAUCCCGGGCAUGUCAAAGAUUUUAUCGCUGGAAGAUGGCCUCGCGUCUGAUUAGCUAGAUGGCGGGGUAACGGCCCACCAUGGCGACGAUCAGUAGCCGGACUGAGUGGUUGACCGGCCACAUUGGGACUGAGAUACGGCCCAGACUCCUACGGGAGGCAGCAGUGGGGAAUAUUGGGCAAUGGACGCAAGUCUGACCCAGCAACGCCGCGUGAAGGAAGAAGGCUUUCGGGUUGUAAACUUCUUUUGUCAGGGAAGAGUAGAAGACGGUACCUGACGAAUAAGCCACGGCUAACUACGUGCCAGCAGCCGCGGUAAUACGUAGGUGGCAAGCGUUGUCCGGAUUUACUGGGUGUAAAGGGCGUGCAGCCGGGCCGGCAAGUCAGAUGUGAAAUCUGGAGGCUUAACCUCCAAACUGUAUUUGAAACUGUAGGUCUUGAGUACCGGAGAGGUUAUCGGAAUUCCUUGUGUAGCGGUGAAAUGCGUAGAUAUAAGGAAGAACACCAGUGGCGAAGGCGGAUAACUGGACGGCAACUGACGGUGAGGCGCGAAAGCGUGGAGAGCAAACAGGAUUAGAUACCCUGGUAGUCCACGCUGUAAACGAUGGAUACUAGGUGU
rnacentral:rRNA from 1 species